rnacentral:rRNA from 1 species
UACAGAGGGGGCAAGCGUUGUUCGGAAUUACUGGGCGUAAAGGGCGCGUAGGCGGCCUUCUAAGUCGAACGUGAAAUCCCCGGGCUCAACCCGGGAACUGCGUCCGAUACUGGAAGGCUUGAAUCCGGGAGAGGGAUGCGGAAUUCCAGGUGUAGCGGUGAAAUGCGUAGAUAUCGUUUGGAACGCCAAUGGUGAAAACAAGUAGCUGGGAGUGUGCCGACGCUGAGACACGAAAGCCAGGGGAGCGAACGGG